GGCCUGCGCGGAAGAUGUAACGGGGCUAAACCAUGCACCGAAGCUGCGGCAGCGACGCUUAUGCGUUCGUUGGGUAGGGGAGCGUUCUGUAAGCCUGUGAAGGUGGCCUGUGAGGGUUGCUGGAGGUAUCAGAAGUGCGAAUGCUGACAUAAGUAACGAUAAAGCGGGUGAAAAGCCCGCUCGCCGGAAGACCAAGGGUUCCUGUCCAACGUUAAUCGGGGCAGGGUGAGUCGACCCCUAAGGCGAGGCCGAAAGGCGUAGUCGAUGGGAAACGGGUUAAUAUUCCCGUACUUGGUGUUACUGCGAAGGGGGGACGGAGAAGGCUAUGUUGGCCGGGCGACGGUUGUCCCGGUUUAAGCGUGUAGGUGUGUGUUCCAGGUAAAUCCGGUUCACUUUAACACUGAGGCGUGAUGACGAGGCACUACGGUGCUGAAGCAACAAAUGCCCUGCUUCCAGGAAAAGCCUCUAAGCAUCAGGUAACAUCAAAUCGUACCCCAAACCGACACAGGUGGUCAGGUAGAGAAUACCAAGGCGCUUGAGAGAACUCGGGUGAAGGAACUAGGCAAAAUGGUGCCGUAACUUCGGGAGAAGGCACGCUGACAUGUAGGUGAAGUGAUUUACUCAUGGAGCUGAAGUCAGUCGAAGAUACCAGCUGGCUGCAACUGUUUAUUAAAAACACAGCACUGUGCAAACACGAAAGUGGACGUAUACGGUGUGACGCCUGCCCGGUGCCGGAAGGUUAAUUGAUGGGGUCAGCGCAAGCGAAGCUCCUGAUCGAAGCCCCGGUAAACGGCGGCCGUAACUAUAACGGUCCUAAGGUAGCGAAAUUCCUUGUCGGGUAAGUUCCGACCUGCACGAAUGGCGUAAUGAUGGCCAGGCUGUCUCCACCCGAGACUCAGUGAAAUUGAACUCGCUGUGAAGAUGCAGUGUACCCGCGGCAAGACGGAAAGACCCCGUGAACCUUUACUAUAGCUUGACACUGAACAUUGAGCCUUGAUGUGUAGGAUAGGUGGGAGGCUUUGAAGUGUGGACGCCAGUCUGCAUGGAGCCGACCUUGAAAUACCACCCUUUAAUGUUUGAUGUUCUAACGUGGACCCGUGAUCCGGGUUGCGGACAGUGUCUGGUGGGUAGUUUGACUGGGGCGGUCUCCUCCUAAAGAGUAACGGAGGAGCACGAAGGUUGGCUAAUCCUGGUCGGACAUCAGGAGGUUAGUGCAAUGGCAUAAGCCAGCUUGACUGCGAGCGUGACGGCGCGAGCAGGUGCGAAAGCAGGUCAUAGUGAUCCGGUGGUUCUGAAUGGAAGGGCCAUCGCUCAACGGAUAAAAGGUACUCCGGGGAUAACAGGCUGAUACCGCCCAAGAGUUCAUAUCGACGGCGGUGUUUGGCACCUCGAUGUCGGCUCAUCACAUCCUGGGGCUGAAGUAGGUCCCAAGGGUAUGGCUGUUCGCCAUUUAAAGUGGUACGCGAGCUGGGUUUAGAACGUCGUGAGACAGUUCGGUCCCUAUCUGCCGUGGGCGCUGGAGAACUGAGGGGGGCUGCUCCUAGUACGAGAGGACCGGAGUGGACGCAUCACUGGUGUUCGGGUUGUCAUGCCAAUGGCACUGCCCGGUAGCUAAAUGCGGAAGAGAUAAGUGCUGAAAGCAUCUAAGCACGAAACUUGCCCCGAGAUGAGUUCU
rnacentral:rRNA from 1 species